rnacentral:rRNA from 1 species
UUGGGAAUCUUCGGCAAUGGACGAAAGUCUGACCGAGCAACGCCGCGUGAGUGAAGAAGGUUUUCGGAUCGUAAAACUCUGUUGUUAGAGAAGAACAAGGACGUUAGUAACUGAACGUCCCCUGACGGUAUCUAACCAGAAAGCCACGGUUAACUACGUUCCAGCAGCCGCGGUAAUACGUAGGUGGCAAGCGUUGUCCGGAUUUAUUGGGCGUAAAGCGAGCGCAGGCGGUUUCUUAAGUCUGAUGUGAAAGCCCCCGGCUCAACCGGGGAGGGUCAUUGGAAACUGGGAGACUUGAGUGCAGAAGAGGAGAGUGGAAUUCCAUGUGUAGCGGUGAAAUGCGUAGGUAUAUGGAGGAACACCGGUGGCGAAGGCGGCUCUCUGGUCUGUAACUGACGCUGAGGCUCGAAAGCGUGGGGAGCAAACAGG